rnacentral:miRNA from 1 species
CUGGGAGAGGGGUGUUUAUGCU